UUUAUGGAGAGUUUGAUCCUGGCUCAGGAUGAACGCUGGCGGCGUGCCUAAUACAUGCAAGUCGAGCGAACGGACGAGAAGCUUGCUUCUCUGAUGUUAGCGGCGGACGGGUGAGUAACACGUGGAUAACCUACCUAUAAGACUGGGAUAACUUCGGGAAACCGGAGCUAAUACCGGAUAAUAUUUUGAACCGCAUGGUUCAAAAGUGAAAGACGGUCUUGCUGUCACUUAUAGAUGGAUCCGCGCUGCAUUAGCUAGUUGGUAAGGUAACGGCUUACCAAGGCAACGAUGCAUAGCCGACCUGAGAGGGUGAUCGGCCACACUGGAACUGAGACACGGUCCAGACUCCUACGGGAGGCAGCAGUAGGGAAUCUUCCGCAAUGGGCGAAAGCCUGACGGAGCAACGCCGCGUGAGUGAUGAAGGUCUUCGGAUCGUAAAACUCUGUUAUUAGGGAAGAACAUAUGUGUAAGUAACUGUGCACAUCUUGACGGUACCUAAUCAGAAAGCCACGGCUAACUACGUGCCAGCAGCCGCGGUAAUACGUAGGUGGCAAGCGUUAUCCGGAAUUAUUGGGCGUAAAGCGCGCGUAGGCGGUUUUUUAAGUCUGAUGUGAAAGCCCACGGCUCAACCGUGGAGGGUCAUUGGAAACUGGAAAACUUGAGUGCAGAAGAGGAAAGUGGAAUUCCAUGUGUAGCGGUGAAAUGCGCAGAGAUAUGGAGGAACACCAGUGGCGAAGGCGACUUUCUGGUCUGUAACUGACGCUGAUGUGCGAAAGCGUGGGGAUCAAACAGGAUUAGAUACCCUGGUAGUCCACGCCGUAAACGAUGAGUGCUAAGUGUUAGGGGGUUUCCGCCCCUUAGUGCUGCAGCUAACGCAUUAAGCACUCCGCCUGGGGAGUACGACCGCAAGGUUGAAACUCAAAGGAAUUGACGGGGACCCGCACAAGCGGUGGAGCAUGUGGUUUAAUUC
rnacentral:rRNA from 1 species